CAGUCGCCACGGUAAUACCGAGGGUGCAAGCGUUAAUCGGAAUUACUGGGCGUAAAGCGCGCGUAGGUGGUUCGCCAAGUUGGAUGUGAAAUCCCCGGGCUCAACCUGGGAACUGCAUCCAAAACUGGCGAGCUAGAGUAUGGUAGAGGGUGGUGGAAUUUCCUGUGUAGCGGUGAAAUGCGUAGAUAUAGGAAGGAACAUCAGUGGCGAAGGCGACCACCUGGACUGAUACUGACACUGAGGUGCGAAAGCGUGGGGAGCAAACAGGAUUAGAUACCCGGGUAGUCCCUGUCUCUUAUAC
rnacentral:rRNA from 1 species